CAGUCGCCACGGUAAUACGUAGGUCCCGAGCGUUGUCCGGAUUUAUUGGGCGUAAAGCGAGCGCAGGCGGUUAGAUAAGUCUGAAGUUAAAGGCUGUGGCUUAACCAUAGUACGCUUUGGAAACUGUUUAACUUGAGUGCAGAAGGGGAGAGUGGAAUUCCAUGUGUAGCGGUGAAAUGCGUAGAUAUAUGGAGGAACACCGGUGGCGAAAGCGGCUCUCUGGUCUGUAACUGACGCUGAGGCUCGAAAGCGUGGGGAGCAAACAGGAUUAGAUACCCGUGUAGUCCCUGUCUCUUAUACA
rnacentral:rRNA from 1 species